rnacentral:rRNA from 1 species
UACAGAGGGUGCGAGCGUUAAUCGGAAUUACUGGGCGUAAAGCGUGCGUAGACGGUAGCGUAAGUCAGAUGUGAAAGCCCCGGGCUCAACCUGGGAACUGCAUUUGAGACUGCUCUGCUCGGGUGCGGAAGAGGGCAGCGGAAUUUCCGGUGUAGCGGUGAAAUGCGUAGAUAUCGGAAGGAACACCAGUGGCGAAAGCGGCUUCCUGGUCCGACACCGACGUUCAGGCACGAAAGCGUGGGGAGCAAACAGG